UUAGAAAUGUUAAAUGUUGAUUUCUUGUACUUUUUGUAGAAAAUGUUAAAUAUCACAAAUUACCAUGCAUAGAAUAAUAGACUGUCAUGUUGUUAAAUUAUAUAGUGAUAAAACAUUUUUGUCUGUAAGCAUUUCACCAAUUUUUAUGCAAUAUUAACUGGUAGGAUAUUUCUUUCUAGAACAUAUUUUCUUUCUACUGUGAAAAUUUUGUUCUAUCUUAUUAACUACAAAGCUGUAUACCCUCUGAAACAGAUCAAUCAUGGCUACUUUCGUUUUGCAUUUGCAUUAUAAACACAACUAUGAUACUUCUCUUAUGUUCCCCUCCAAGGGCUGUCAGUCACUUGAAAGUGUUGCUAAUAAGCUCUUGAAUCUGUUUCCAUUAAUGGUACAAAAUUCUGUACCAAUGCUUUAUGACAAUUACCAAAACUCUCCUGCAGCCAGAACAUGUGAUCUUUAGUAAAAGAUGCUGCAAUAAGAUGUUUAGACUAUAAAAUAGGGGCCACAAUACAUUACAGCACAAUGUGAAUGUGCAUAUGCACACACAGCUUUGUAUGUUCUUUUUACAAAGUCCUUCCAACUCUUAAAAAAGUACUGUAGUCUGGUAGUGCCUCAAAUGUUGGUAACUUUUUUUUUAAUUUACAACUUUUCCAGUUUGAUUUUGUACUUUCAAGUUUCUCAAUUAGACUUACUUCUAGUUGAGCUGUAAUUUGAAUGCAUUGUUCUCAGGGCUGUUUGUGCUAAGAUCUAAGGUUUCAUUAUUUUAAAGCUAACUACCUGAAAGUAUAUUGCAAAAUUUUCCCAAGUUGUAAUACAAAGAUACAUACAAAUAAAAAAUCCUUAAUAUCAACAUACUUAAAGCUGUACGUUAAGUAUUGAAGAAGAAAAUGGGAACAUUGGCAACAUGUAUCCUGGAAUCUUGCCAUAUUUUUUUUAUUUUAGAACAAAAGUUGACAGUCUUAGAACCCUAUCCUUAAUGAUAUAUUUGAAAGCAUGCCUUUGGAAUAAAUCCCAAAGAUAGUCUCAGAGCCAGAUGCUGACGUAGUGGUUCACAAACAUAUUUAGGAA